CUGAAAAGUUUUCUUAACAGUUAAUAUCGUUUACAAACAAAAACAAACAAUAUUGAAAAAAAAAUAAAACGCGCUUCCUUUAAAACUACUGACUAAAUGGCCCCGGGGAAAUUCGCUCCUUUGCUCUCCGUUGAACGCGACUCCGACCACAGCGGGUAAGAAAACAUCGUAACACGAUACGUGUAUACGACCUGUUUCGACGAUUGGAUGACGGCUGUUCAUUAUCGGCGUCCCGGGAUGAUGGUACGGUAAGUGGUAGAACGAACAAUACCGGAAUCGAGACGACGAGUGGUCCCAAAAUAGACCGAGCCAAGGACACCUGUCAUAAGCGGACCAGGUCAACCGGGAAGUUGCAAAUUACGCACCAAAAUGACCAAAGUCGCGGACUCGUGGUCAGUAUGGCACUUACGGCUGCGAACAGAGACGCCCGGAGAGGCUAUCGCCCCCCCUCCUCCCCGAGAUUUUUCAUCACUUUACGCCGUUUAAAGACAUGGAUUAGAAAUAGGAUGGGAAACGAACGAUCGAGGAGUAGCUUUGGGUUAAUUAAUUUAC